AUGACACUCCGAGAUUUUAAGUUUAAUCAGUUUUUAAUCUUUCGGAAUCUUUUCGAAUCUUUUUGAAUCAGCAAAAUUGUGACCAAAAAAUGUAGAAGCACUUUUGCUUCAGUGUUUUGCGCGCAAUCUGUCAAACGUGUCGAGCUCAAUCGAAAUCGAAAAAAAAACAAAGUGGUGCGGUCGGUACGGUGUUUGUGCUACUUUUUCGAGAAAUCUGUAAGAUUUCGGAGAAUCCUAGUCCGAUUUCCGGUGUGUUUUAUGCCAAUGCGUCCGGGAACGAAUAAACUUCCACAACCAGAUCAUAAAUUGUAACCGGAAAGCAAGCAGGAAGUUACUGCGACAGCUGUGGAAUGUUGCGGCUCUGACGGCUGCCUGAAUGGGACGGCCGACUUCUGAGCAUGAACGUGAACCGGAUUAGGAUGGUUCGAAUUCGCUGCCGGGACGAGACCCAGAAUAAUUACCCCUAUCUUGGAUUUUUAAUGUCUUGUUCUUUCUUUUUCCAGGUCCUUCAGUUCCCUUAAGCACUGAGGCUCUUCAUCCUCUUCCUUUUCAUUGUCCUCGAGAUUCUCUUCGCUGAGCGAUUUCCGCUGCCGUUACCGAGGUAUGCAGCAGCCGAUGUUUGGCCAACAGCUUAGAGUUUUCGGACACUGAAUACACGAUUUGAGCUCUUUGUGGAAUACUGUCUUGACGAAGUGACAGCAUUACAAUAACUGGAUCCCAGCGUCCAGUGUCUUUUUCAUUCGACACCAAACGAAAAAUUUGCAAAUCCUCGAGGCAUAUUCUUGAAGUCUCCCUAUUUUUAAAGGAUCUUCUUCGCCACCAUCCCAUCCAGCCAAUGGAUUCAGAUAUCAUUAUCAUAUUGUUAUUGUUAUAUGUAUUUAUUUUUUAUUGUUUUCAUCUAUGGC